rnacentral:sRNA from 1 species
GUCGUGAGAUGUUGGGUUAAGUCCCGCAACGAGCGCAACCCUUGUCCCUAGUUGCUACGCAAGGGCACUCUAGGGAGACUGCCGGUGACAAACCGGAGGAAGGUGGGGAUGACGUCAAGUCCUCAUGGCCCUUAUGGGUAGGGCUUCACACGUCAUACAAUGGCCGGUACAGAGGGUUGCCAACCCGCGAGGGGGAGCCAAUCCCAGAAAGCCGGUCGUAGUCCGGAUUGCAGUCUGCAACUCGACUGCAUGAAGUCGGAAUCGCUAGUAAUCGCGGAUCAGCAUGUCGCGGUGAAUACGUUCCCGGGUCUUGUACACACCGCCCGUCACACCAUGGGAGCGGGAUGUACCAGAAGUAGGUAGGCUAACCGCAAGGGGGCCGCUUACCACGGUGCGUUUCGUGACUGGGGUGAAGUCGUAACAAGGUAGCCGUAUCGGAAGGUGCGGCUGGAUCACCUCCUUUCUCGGAAAUAGCCCGAGUGUCAGUACCCACUCCUAUCGGUUGCAGCGCGCGGAUGGCAAAUGAGGACAUUUCCAUUCACCGCAGCAGCAUGACGCCGGACAACGGGCCUGUAGCUCAGUUGGUUAGAGCACCGUCUUGAUAAGGCGGGGGUCGAUGGUUCGAAUCCAUCCAGACCCACCAGGUUGAGCAAGCGCGACAGUAUCGCGAGUCAAUCGAGGCGCGCGGGCCCGACGUGUACAAGAUCAGUACACGAGGGCCCAAGCAACGAAGAGUGACGAAGCGAGCGGGGGUGUAGCUCAGUUGGGAGAGCGCCUGCUUUGCAAGCAGGAGGCCAUCGGUUCGAUCCCGUUCACCUCCACCAUUCAGGAAGCCGAGGCCGGGAAGCAUGAAUCACCUAUCGGUUGCGCAUCACGCAGCAUUCAACCCUCGUCGUUCGACGAGUGACGAGAGUUGAAAGCUGUAUUGUUCUUUAACAAUUCGGAAGGCAAGGGUUCAUCUGGACUUGAUGAGAGUCCGGGUGGACAUAGGGUUGAGUUGUAUCUUGCUGUCAUUCUUUAAAAGGGGAAUGACAGUGGCGCAAACACGCCAUGACAGUGUGUCCUGUAGCAGGCAACUGCGAGGGCCCACAGUUAUGGGGUCAAGUGACUAAGUGCAUGUGGUGGAUGCCUUGGCGAUUACAGGCGACGAAGGACGUGGCAGCCUGCGAAAAGCUCCGGGGAGCUGGCAAACAAGCUUUGAUCCGGAGAUGU